CCAGAGUCACCACACUGACCACGGCCAAAGGGGCAGUCGUGACAUUGCCAAGUAUUUACACCCCAUCACAAAGUGUACCAAUGACAGCACACUUCAGACUGUGCCACUGCAGCUGUCUGCCAACUCCAAGGUCCCACACCGAAUGGAGUUUAUCUACAGUGACAGCGGGCCGUUGAUGUUGGUCUCUCGGCAGGCUCUGGCCUAGGCACAGGCUCAGGGAAUGCUGCCAAAACCAGCCAGUGCCAAUGCUUCUGCUUAGACCCCCAUCCUCACAGUCAACUGUGACCACUACACCAAUCAUCAGAGUGUAUCACCAGUGUAUCAGCUACUACCAAUAUUAAACUUAAUUCCACUACAGGAACUGCCAUUCAGAAACCACCCGCCGCUACAGGAACUGCUAUUUUCACGCCAUCAGUGGGAGCUACCAUCAUUAAACCAGCCGGUGUUACAGGGACAGCCAUCAGAAAACCCAGCUCUACCAUGGGGCCUGUUAUCAAAGCCAGUCAAAUGACUCCAAACAGCAGCACACAGGGGACCUUUAACCAGAGGACUAAUUCUGUCACUGCAACUAUCAUAAUUAAUACCUCUGCUGUAAAGUCUGUGGUCAAAGGUGUUCUCUCCACCGAAGGUAGGAUGGGAAAGUAGAAGCAGAAGAGUUUACUGAAAAACGACAUGGAGCUCAAAUCAUCCCCUCAACCAUAUCUAGUGCCUUCCUGAAGGUGAAUGCAGUUUCUUCACUCAUUUAGAUAUUAUGAGCAACUUCAACAAAGUCAAAUGGGUAUAUAUGAGGGUACUGACCUCAUUUUUGACCUGAUUUUAUAAUGAAGUCUAUUAUCAGACCUUCAUAGCUCAUGUAUGAACGAGACACGACCUCUUUGGUAUGAGCUAAAUUAAAGACAUCUAACCAGAGAUGCUGAUGUAUUCAUUCUUUCAGAGGAGCCUGCCAGCUGUCCGUCAGCUCACCCCAAACUCUCAGGUCUUUCUUUAAGCAAGUGUGACCAACUCACGCCCUCAGAUUCAGCAUCAACCAAGGCCGCAAACCAGAGGUCCACUGCUUCGGUCAGCUCCUCCCUCAAGCCCAACCAGCCAACCAGAAUGGCUCAGCUGGCAAACCCCGGCCCAUUUUUAAUCCCGGCAUUGUAAUUCAUCAUGAUGAUUUCAGGGCUUUCCCUAUAUGAACCAACGGAAGAGUAAUUUGAUCAUAUGAAAAACAAAUGAUCAUUCAGUGUUUGUGUUUCACUGAGAAAACAGACCUGGAUGUGUAUCGUUUUAAUGUUAAUCUGCAGGUGUGAUUCCUCUGUCAGUAUUUAGAGUACCAUAUGGUUUCUGGAACUCAGGUUUGUAUCUGAGGAUCCUGAAUACACCAUUUUGAUGUUUUAUGUUGUAGUAGACUCGGUAGUGUGUGUGUGAGAGAGUGAAACACUGUAAUUUCCCGUCCCAGCACACUGGUUCAUUUUCAUGACAGCCUCUCUUCACUUUGUCUUCAUUUCCUGGUUAACUCACCACCGCCCACGGUGUACAGGCUAAUUCACUUAAAACCACCAGUAUCCCACAAGCCCAAGCGGAGCCAAAUUAGUUUUACACUAGAGACAAAGAUGCAUGAGUCUUACCCCAUUUCUUACCAGGAAUGUCAUGUUAUCAUAUUCAAAUAAUGUCAUGAUUUGUUUUUCUGUAAUCUAAUCUCACCAUUUUAUUGGACGUCUUGAUGGAUUUCCACUGAAAUACAGAAGCUCAUUUCCCAUACACCUGAAUAGACUUUAGUGGUUUUGAUUACUUCAGAAUCAGAAAGUGCUCUGAGGGGUUGCAGAAGUGCUCCUGUCUAAAAUGGUUUCUACAAUGCCCUCGAGUUGGACUAAACCCAGCAUACCUUAUAUGAAUAUUUGCUGUCGUCUUAUAGAUUUUUAUUUUUUUACUUUGUCAGGUGAUCCAGCAACCUAAAGGAGUAAUCGUCAAACAGUAUUUGACAUCAGCUCUUGCAGACUUAACUGCACAGAACCAAACUUAACCCAAACAGAUGGUCAUUCAAACCAACACUCACCCAGCAGGUGUAAGCUGUUUCUGUUGUCGGCCCAAAACUUGAAAACAGUCACACAAUGCCACACAUUUCUACAGCUUAUUUAAUUUUAUAUUUUUAUUUUGCCUAUUUUUGGUAUAGUGUUUUAAAGCACUUUGGUCAACUCCAGUUGUUU
rnacentral:lncRNA from 1 species